UGGGGAAUAUUGCACAAUGGGGGAAACCCUGAUGCAGCGACGCCGCGUGAUUUAGAAGGCCUUCGGGUUGUAAAAAUCUUUUUUACGGGAUGAAAAUGACAGUACCGUAAGAAUAAGGUCCGGCUAAAUACGUGCCAGCAGCCGCGGUAAUACGUAUGGACCGAGCGUUGUCCGGAAUCAUUGGGCGUAAAGGGUACGUAGGCGGCCUAGUAAGUUAGAAGUUAAAGAAUAUAGCUCAACUAUAUAAAGCUUUUAAAACUGCUAGGCUUGAGAGAUGGAAGGGAAAGUGGAAUUCCUAGUGUAGCGGUGAAAUGCGCAGAUAUUAGGAAGAAUACCGGUGGCGAAGGCGACUUUCUGGUCAUCAUCUGACGCUGAGGUACGAAAGCGUGGGUAGCAAACAGG
rnacentral:rRNA from 1 species